rnacentral:lncRNA from 1 species
GCCUGUUGCCUGGUGAAUCAGCCUUGCCAUUCGCUCUCUGCUCUUUCGAGCACGGAUCCAGAUCGAAUGAGUCAUUCAUUUACUGAGCACAUGCUGGGUGCCAAGCACUAGGCUAGCAAGAGCAAGAGGACAAAAAUAUCUACCAUCCUAUGGCUUCCAUUUUCAUCAAGGUCUGAUUUUCUUAACUCUACUACGGUAAGAAGAUGCCCUCCAUCAGCAGGCCGUGUCUGCUGGGACCUCUCUGGAGACUUCCUGAACCCUGUGGAUUUACAGUAAGAUGCAGUUUCCUGGGGAGUAAUUCUGGUGGAUACAAAUUCCGGAGUAUUACACCUGGCUUGCCUGGAGAUGUUACAAGUAGCUGGAUGGAUUCUUCAGCCUGGAUGCCCACUGAAAACAAGGACCGAAACUAAGAGGAUUGUAUCUCUACCCUUGACUCAAUGAGAAUGUUUGUUGUCAUCUCUCGGGCUACCUGGAGCUCCCUCUAAAAUGGGCUGGGACACUGCCUGAUUGAGGUGGCCAUUGAGAAUUCAAGUGUACCUCUUGGUCCCUGAUGCAGAAAUGAAGUCCCCAGCAUGCUCAAGAAGAGCUUCCUUGGAGGAUGAGAGGCAUGGGAAUCUAAGUAUACCCUUUAAGCGUUCCAGAAGGAUUUUGAGAUCCUUUCCUAAAUCAAAGGUGGAAUAUUUGGGGAUUUGGAAAAUUGAGCAUUUUUUUCCCCACUUGCUUGACUGUAAUGCUAACAUGCUCUCUCUGCUCCAACCUGGAGAAGCCAGUCUCUCAGAAGAACCAGUUGUGUUACUUUGCUGUGAGAUGCCUGCCCUAAGAGAGGAGCAGAAGGUCGGAACGGGUCCUCUAAUGUGAUAAUUAG